GACGUAGGAUGCAAGCGUUGUCCGGAUUUAUUGGGCGUAAAGAGUUCGUAGGUGGUUCGUUAAGUCUGAUGUUAAAGACUGGGGCUCAACCCUGGGAGUGCAUCGGAUACUGGCGGACUGGAGUGCAGUAGAGGCAAGCGGAAUUCCCAGUGUAGCGGUGAAAUGCGUAGAUAUUGGGAAGAACACCGGUGGCGUAAGCGGCUUGCUGGGCUGUAACUGACGCUGAGGAACGAAAGCUAGGGGAGCAAAUGGG
rnacentral:rRNA from 1 species